GGAAUAUAAAGGCAAACUACUCCGAAAGGAUAGGACGCAAAGCCUAGGGUCUAAGGUUUAGGUUGGGGGUCGAAAGUCCCUUGAUCUAAACUAUGAUCGCCUGGUUACCAAA
rnacentral:ncRNA from 1 species